GACGAACGCUGGCGGCGUGCUUAACACAUGCAAGUCGAACGGUGAAGCGCCUUCCUUUUUGGUGGGUGUGGAUGAGUGGCGAACGGGUGAGUAACACGUGAGUAACCCGCCCCCUUCUUCUGGAUAACCGCAUGAAAGUGUGGCUAAUACGGGAUAUUCUGGGUCUGUCGCAUGAUGGGUCUGGGAAAGAUAUUGUUUCGGUGGGGGAUGGGCUCGCGGCCUAUCAGCUUGUUGGUGGGGUGAUGGCCUACCAAGGCGGUGACGGGUAGCCGGCCUGAGAGGGUGGACGGUCACACUGGGACUGAGACACGGCCCAGACUCCUACGGGAGGCAGCAGUGGGGAAUAGUGCACAAUGGGCGCAAGCCUGAUGCAGCGACGCCGCGUGAGGGAUGGAGGCCUUCGGGUUGUGAACCUCUUUCGCCAGUGAAGCAGGACUGCCUCGUUUGUGGGUGGGUUGACGGUAGCUGGAGAAGAAGCGCCGGCUAACUACGUG
rnacentral:rRNA from 1 species